rnacentral:tRNA from 1 species
UCCUCCAUAGCUCAGUGGUUAGAGCGUCCAACCGGCAUCUGGAUGGUCAUGGGCUCGAUUCCCGUUGGGGAUCUCAGAA